rnacentral:rRNA from 1 species
CCUACGGGAGGCAGCAGUGAGGAAUAUUGGUCAAUGGCCGCAGGGCUGAACCAGCCAAGUCGCGUGAGGGAUGACGGUCCUAUGGAUUGUAAACCUCUUUUGUCAGGGAGCAAAGGGCGCCACGUGUGGCGUUUUGCGAGUACCUGAAGAAAAAGCAUCGGCUAACUACGUGCCAGCAGCCGCGGUAAUACGGAGGUGGCAAGCGUUGUCCGGAAUUACUGGGGGUAAAGGGAGCGGAGGCGGGAUGUCAAGUCAGAAGUGAAAAUUAUGGGGUGAACUCAUAACCGGCCUUUGAAACUGGUGUUCUUGAGUGAGGGAGAGGCAUGCGGAAUGCCUGGUGUAGCGGUGAAAUGCAUAGAUAUUACGAAGAACACCAGUGGCGAAGGCAGCAUACUGGGGUUUUACUGACGCUGAGGCACGAAAGCGUGGGGAGCGAACAGGAUUAGAUACCCGAGUAGUC